CACCCGGUAGCACACGGAGUGCAUCUGCCAUUCAUACAGGGCAGCUAAAUCAGUGCAGGUAGAACGCCCCCGUUCGAUUCGGGGCCGGGUGA